CUUAAGAAUUACAGUAACACGGUUUUAAGAGCUUGGAGAAGAGAAAGAAACAAGUGUGUGUAUGAUUUUGAAGGAAGGUUAUUUGUAGGAUGUGCAAGUUGCAGUGAAGUUUCGGGAGACUAACAGGAAUGGAAUCCUAUUUGAAAUAUUCCACAUUGAAGGGUGGAUUUGUGGAACUCUGAAUGGGAAUCUAUUCCAUGUGACUACAGAGUUCAGACUUAAGAACAAUGGAAGAACAUUCUAGGAGACCAAAUCUGUGUAUAAGGAAUAUCAUUUUCACAAUUUUAGCUGUCCCUCCCACCAGAGGGCAGGCGACUGUGCUUUUGAUCUUUUUUAUUGCCAAUGCCUGGCAACAUGCCCGACUUGCAGUCGACUUCAGUGUUGGCUUACUAAUUCCAUUAAUAGGUGUUCAAAAACAGCAUGAAGAGCUAAAUGAUGAGAAAAUUUCCAACUUCGCCAAUGCCUACUCUUGUUCUCUUCUAGUCACAAGCUCAUCAUGAUGGCCCUCUGUGGAGCAGCUUGCUCCGGUGAGCGUGCAUUCAGCUAUCAAAUCCCAGGAGGCCCAUUAGACCUCAACCAAAUGACAGCCCGUAAAGUUCCUCGGAGUGAAGAAUUAGGUUGAGCUGUUAACCUUCCCCAUGCAAAGGACAACAAAGAAAUUCUAGUAAGAGCCAUUUUCCUUUGGCGCUUGGCAUAGGAGUUUACCUGCAGCAGCCUCUGCUUCUCUGCCAUUUAUUAUCCCAUUCCCGCGUGCUGCCUACUCCACUCAAGCACCUUCUAUAAAGUGAUACUGCCUAAGCUGAAGUGCUAAAAUCUGCCUGCCCUAAAUGGGAUAUGAAAAUGUGGGAAUAUUAGCCCUUAAACAGUAGGCUAGAAUUUCUUUCAUCCAUCUAUCCCUAAGGCAAACUGGGUUUUAAAGCCAAAAUCACAGGUUGCCUUUUGCUUUGUAAAUCAGCAGUUGGAUGUGUAAUUGGGGUUUUUUUUUUUAAAUGUCAAAAUGACUCUUGGGUGUUGAUUUGGCAAGUGGAAAUAACAUAGAAAGGCUGUAUAAGUAGUUUUAGAAUGGCAGUUAAAAUCUCAUAAUCUGACUUUAACAAUUGAUUUUGCUCCAAAUUUCCAUAUUGGUAUUAUUCAGCUUUUGGCUGAGGAUCUGGAAAUGGAACUUUUCCCAGUGAAACUUGGACUAAACCUAAUAUUGAACUUAUCGUGUUCAUAGUUUGGGUAGGUAAAUUUUAUACAUCUAAUUUGCAGACCAGCUUAUAGAAACAGGAGAUGAAAAGCCCAUUUCAUUUAUUCCCCUGGUGGGGUGGAACAUUUUCUUCCAAUAUGUUUUCCAAUUUACUUUUGAAAUUUAUGGAGCUUAAGAAAAGUACCAUUCCAUUAUCUAAUAGUUCUUGCUAAUAGGCAGUUUCCUUAAAUACCCAGCCUAAAUUUUCCAUUGCUCAUCUGACUUCAAAUCUUCACCAUUUUCCAAUCUUAUGGAUUUUAUAAUUUGAUGUUUGCUAAAUCCUUAGUUAAUAGCCAUUCUCAAGAUUGUGAUUUAAAAAAUGUAUAUUAAGUGAUUUUGCUCCCUUAAAAAUUCUAUAAACUACUGAUUGAAUGUGCAAAACAUUUAUGCCCUAUUUCUAAAAGAGUAAAACGAUUCACAAACUACUACUCUGGAUAGUGAGAGAUGAACCUAUUUCUUCUGCCUUGCUAAGAGAAUUGUUUUGCUUGGUUUGAUGCUACCAAAGUAUAUUUAAGAACGAAUAAAACGUGAAUUGAUCGUGUUUGUGGUUAUUUUCUGAGG